AUACGGAGGAUCCGAGCGUUAUCCGGAUUUAUUGGGUUUAAAGGGAGCGUAGGCGGACUAUUAAGUCAGCUGUGAAAGUUUGCGGCUCAACCGUAAAAUUGCAGUUGAUACUGGUCGUCUUGAGUGCAGUAGAGGUAGGCGGAAUUCGUGGUGUAGCGGGGAAAUGCUUAGAUAUCACGAAGAACUCCGAUUGCGAAGGCAGCUUACUGGACUGUAACUGACGCUGAUGCUCGAAAGUGUGGGUAUCAAACAGGAUUAGAUACCCUGGUAGUCCACACAGUAAACGAUGAAUACUCGCUGUUUGCGAUAUACGGCAAGCGGCCAAGCGAAAGCAUUAAGUAUUCCACCUGGGGAGUACGCCGGCAACGGUGAAACUCAAAGGAAUUGACGGGG
rnacentral:rRNA from 1 species